UGGGGGGGCACGACUAGUAGAAAAUAAAACUGCAAAGUCCGGAUACAUGUAUAGUCUUGGUAAGCGUACUGAAAAUCAGCAAUGUAAAGGGUGGAUGUUAUCCUGGGUGGCUUUUUAAUUACACAGUCGGUGUAAACGCAUAUGUUUGCAAUUUCUGACGUCCAGAUGAAAUGGUUUCCCUCUCUCUUUCCAAUGUGUCUCGGCCUCUGAUGUCGUUUCCUAUGAAGUUGCUCUUCGGCCCUUCAGACAGGACGUCGUUAUGUAAGUUAACAUCCCAGGUGGAGGUCCAGGAGAUGUGAUGUUACACAUAUGUGACUGGCAAGAUAUCCUUGUGAUUGAUGACUCUGUACCCGUGCAUAUUUGUGCUGUUUCUGUUCUUUUUUACCAUAAGUUCCUUGGAUAACAAAACAUAUGCAUUAAAUUUAUAAAUUAUUGGUACAAUACAGGAAGAAUAUACAAGCUACGUGGGAAAAUCAAAAAGUAAAGGCAAUUUGAAACUUGCAUGGUAACCACAAUAGAUAGAAGCUGACAUAAUACAUCACAAUUAUGAUGCCGUAUGGGGAGCACAAACACGCCCUUGCGGUGCUCUGCCUGUAGUCUAGUUAAAGCCAAGGUCAAAGGAACAUGGACGCUCCACUGUGGGAUUGCACCAUUGUUGAACAAUGCACAGUAGUGAGACUUCUUUGGGCAAAGGGAGGGAAAUCUCUGUGAAUUUAGUGUGAUCGCCUGAACGUGGUGGAGUGGGGUGGACGGACCCCCUUGGUGAAGUGCGAUUGGUCCCCCGCAAUCUCCAGAGCAUUAGAUGAAUCGGGCCCAAUCGUCAAUACUUUUCCUCCAAGGUGAGUCGAACAUGACUGUUACAGUGGGGGUUGGGGAGGCCAUUUAGGAUUGGCCGUGCCCAACCUAUGAUGCUGUUACUGUGAAUCGAGCACAAUCAAUGGGGGCGGAGAUUCGGUUUUGUCUGGAGUCGGCCAUAGCCCACGAGUCGGGGAAAGGCUGAACUCGAACAUCAAGUACUCGUUCAUUGCUGCUCCCUGCCUUGAACUCUAACGCUAUUGUGUUUACCGCUGGGGUCUGCGAGGGAAUAAAGAGAACGAUCCAGAGGUAAUGCAGUCGUUUAGGGGUAACAUGGGGGGUUUAGGGGCGCAUGAAGUACACAUUUGAAAAGAAAUAUCUUGAAUUUGUCUUGGAAAUAGUGUGAAGAGACUGCUGAAAUGCUUAAGUAAGAGACAGAAAUGUUCCAGGUGGUGGUGUAGCAAUUGGCUCAUGUCAUACACAGCAUGUUCUACAUAGAAGAUCAAAAUCGGCAGAUAUCACGUACCCAGCAAGACUGGACGGUUGUCACGUACACAGAGCUGAAGUGAAGAGAUAUUGAGAAGAUUGAGACUUUUAUGUGGGUCUCCGAACGGUGGGUACAGAAAAUGGACAGAUUGUGCAGGAUUCUUCUUAUCACUUUAGAUGAAGUAUUAGAAAGUCGCACAGAGUGCCCUUUCCUCCCAUGGUGUGCCUCUGUACUCAGAAGCUCCCAAAUGAUGACACCUAUGAGGAACACCUAAUGGUUAAACAGAUCGUGAAGGUUACAGGGAUAUCCUUAAUGAACGCCUACCUACUUAGAGCGCCAUGGACCUCAGACUGAGCACAAUGGGUCACAACAAAAAGACAACACUGGAAGGGUCCACUUGACCAACUCCACGUUCAACAAUCUGGAAAAAAAGGUGGGUCGGCGUUCUUCUGGUUGCAGUCCACCUCCACAAGCUGCUUCUUCACGGCGUUUUGAUGUCGGCUGCAAACUGAUCCCAUCGGGUGGAAAGGUUAAGGAUGGCUGGCUUAGAAGGAGGAGCACAGGCUGUUUUGUCCCUUUCGGCGUCAAAGACCCUCUGGCAGGAGUGGCGGUCCGCGAGUGGAGGUGAUCGCGGGGUAUUUUUGGAAGCAGGGGAGCAACAGCUUGCAUCACAUGGCCGCCGUGUGACUCUGCGUGUUGCUUCAGAGGCCUUUUGCUUUUCCGAGGUCUGUGGUUACAAAACCUUGCCGGCCGGGCCACGCGAUUGUGCUGGAGUCAGAGGAAGGUUAAAUUUAGAUUUCGCAGUGACAGGUGGCAUCCAGAGGACCACAUGCCUGGUCAGCUGCUGGCCUGAACCAGAGGGGCCAGAAAAACAAGGGAAAGUAAAUAUUUACUGAAUUUGAAAAUGCUUUUCAAUUAGAAUUCUUGGGGUAUUUUUAAAAAUCGCUAUCCACACCCACUGAGACAAUUCUCAGGACCACUGCCCUAAUGCCGGGUCGGACCUCCUUUUGAUCUCCAGACAGCCUCGGUUCUCCCUGCCAUGGAUUCCACAAGAUGCCCGAAGCAGUCCUUUGUGAUUCUGCUCCGUCUGCACCCAAUUCUGUCACAAAAUGUCCGCAGACGUGUCAGCUGCACAUUCAUCUCCUGCUCUGCCACAUCCUAAGGGUGUGCUGUUGGAUUCAGGUCUGGGAACUGGUAAGACCCCCAAAGUCAUUGUCAUGUUCACUUUGCUUUGUGACACAAUGCAUUGGAAUGCUGGAAGGAUCCACUAGAAGAUGGCUAAACUGUGGCCAUGAAGGGUCUACCUGCUCCGCAGCAACGAUCACAUAGCAUUCAAGUGAUGAUUGACUGGUGUGUCCAAAAAACACACAAACACGCCUCCCACCAUCAGCCUGGACUGUUUGACGCCAACCAUCUGUGCGCCUCGGCAGAAAUCGAGAUUCGUCAGACCAGGCCACGGCAGUUUGUGUUCCGUACUGUGAUUGUGUUAAUGACGUUAUCUUAUCUUACCUUACCUUACGCUACGUCAUGUUGUGUUGUAUUAACUGUAUAUCAUGUUAUGUGCUCUGUGUAUUACAGCAGGCACUGUGGGUGUAGUGGUCAAGGCUCUGGCUGUGGGUUCAAAUCCCACUACUGACACCAUGUGACCUUCACUUGCCUGCACGCCAACUGGAAAAGCAAAAGAAAUGGAAGUAAACGUAUCAUAAAUGGUCAACCAUGUGGUGGUGGUGGUGUUGGCACAGGACAAUGUGAUAUGUUAGGUUAUCUUAAACUACAUUGUUAUAGUAGUGUGUGUGUUACAUUUGUUAUGUCUUCUUAAAUUGUUUCGUUAUCUACUGCAUACUGUAUGUUAUGCUAGUGAUGUGAUACUGCAUUAUGUUAUAUUGUGCUACAUUGUUAUGUUAAACUAUAUGUUAUGUCACUGUAUGUUAAGUCGUGCCAUGUAAUACGUGUUGUGUUAUAUUACAUUAUGUUGGGAUAGUCAAGUCAAGUCGGGGAGCCUGCACUGGUACAGCUUGUUGUCACACCCAUCACAUGACGAAACGACUCGGGAUCCCAGGCAGGCACGCAUGCGGUCCAGUCCCACCCUCCGGAAAUGACCCCCUAUCUGCCGCAGCCAGGUGUCACGUGGGUGU